rnacentral:rRNA from 1 species
UACGGUAGGGUGCAAGCGUUGUCCGGAAUUAUUGGGCGUAAAGAGCUCGUAGGCGGUUUGUUGCGUCGGCUGUGAAAUCCCCGGAGGCUCAACCUCGGGUCUGCAGUCGAUACGAGCAAACUAGAGUGUUGCAGGGGAGACUGGAAUUCCUGGUGUAGCGGUGAAAUGCGCAGAUAGUCAGGAGGAACACCGGUGGCGAAGGCGGGUCUCUGGGCAACAA